GGCCAUACCAUGUAAAACCCGAUUCUCAUAAGAUCACCGAAGUUAAGCAACAUCGAGCCUGCUCUGUACCUAGAUGAGUAACUACUUGGGAAUACCAGGUACU